UUGGCGGAAUGGUUUUAAUCGGCCCGUCUAGAAACACGGACCAAGGAGUCUAACAUGUGUGCGAGUCGGUGGGUGACAAACCCACGAGGCGCAAGUAACCUGACUGUUCAAAAUCGACCAACCAUGAUCUUCUGUGAAAGGUUUGAGUGCGAGCAUACAUGCUGGGACCCGAAAGAUGGUGAACUAUGCCUGAGCAGGGCGAAGCCAGAGGAAACUCUGGUGGAGGCUCGUAGCGAUACUGACGUGCAAAUCGUUCGUCGGACUUGGGUAUAGGGGCGAAAGACUAAUCGAACCAUCUAGUAGCUGGUUCCCUCCGAAGUUUCCCUCAGGAUAGCUGGAGCUUGUGCAGUUUUAUCGGGUAAAGCGAAUGAUUAGAGGUUUUGGGGCUGAAACAGCCUCAGCCUAUUCUCAAACUUUAAAUAGGUAAGCUCUGGGUUGCUUAAUUGAACCUAGGGGUGUAAUGAGAGCUCCAUGUGGGCCAUUUUUGGUAAGCAGAACUGGCGAUGCGGGAUGAACCGAAAGCCGGGUUAAAGUGCCAAACUGCGCGCUAACCUAGAUCCCACAAAGGGUGUUGAUUCAUAUAGACAGCAGGACGGUGGUCAUGGAAGUCGAAAU
rnacentral:rRNA from 1 species